UGCGUAGGCGGUCCUAUAAGUCAGUUGUGAAAUACGGCAGCUUAACUGUCGAGGUGCAAUUGAUACUGCAGGACUUGAGUACAGACGAGGUAGGCGGAAUUGACGGUGUAGCGGUGAAAUGCUUAGAUAUCGUCAAGAACACCGAUAGCGAAGGCAGCUUACUAGACUGUAACUGACGCUGAGGCACGAAAGUGUGGGGAUCAAACAGGAUUAGAUACCCUGGUAGUCCACACUGUAAACGAUGAUUACUCGAUGUUGGCGAUACACAGCCAGCGUCUUAGCAAAAGCGAUAAGUAAUCCACCUGGGGAGUACGCCGGCAACGGUGAA
rnacentral:rRNA from 1 species